UACAAGCUGCUCAAGACCCAUUUUCACAUGUCCAUACAUUUAGGUACAUUACAUACAUCAAAAUAAACUUCUACAACAGGGUAUAAAAUAUACCCGAUAUAACUUCAAGCUGAUAGAUCAUCAAUCCUUUGCAGCUCAGUCUCCUACUCCUCUAGUCUCUAUAUUCAAUAGCCCGGGCUGAGCCCAAAGCAAUACUGACUCUAGUGUUCCAAGUUAGU
rnacentral:misc_RNA from 1 species